UCCGUUGUAGUAGAUGGACGUGAUGUAAAAAUCUCAGCGACCUGCUGCUGAUUAAACAUGGAGUCUUGGUUUUGGUCGAUGGUUAUUUUGCAGCUUUUAUUGCUGCAAAUGUCAUAUAACACCGCCCUUUUACAGGCUGCGUCCAUUUUGUUAUACAGGCGGAGGAGAGUGUUUGCGGCGCGCGCGGCCGCGGCUCUGGGGCUCAGUGCGCGUCUGCUUCCGGUACCGACAAGAAGCCGCUCGUGCUGGAUGCGCAUGCGUAGUCGGGACUGGUGGGACAGAGUGGUGCUGCAGGAGUUCUCCGACGCGGAAUGGAGAGAGCACUUCAGGAUGGGCCGCAGAUCGUUUGUGAAACUGUGUGCCCUGAUGAAAGAGGUCAUGAGCCCCGGGGAAGUGACGGUGCGUCCUGCGGUACCGUUAGAGAUGCGGGUGGCGAUCGCGCUGUCCAAGCUCGGCGCGUGCGGGGAGUACCGGUCCAUCGCGGUCCGCUUCGGCGUCCACAAGACCACAGUGAUGAAGUUUGUUUACAUGUUCUGUAAAGGCAUGGUGAACCAAGCGAUGCAGCACUUCAUCCGAGCCCCGGGCCUGCAGGAAGCCUGCGCCAUCGCUGAGCGCUUUGAGAGCAGGUUCGGUAUCCCUCAGGUUAUCGGGUGUGUCGAUGUGACCCACAUCCCGGUUCUGGCGCCCAGUGAUGGCUACAUGAAGUUCCUCAACCGUAAAGGUUGGACAUCUUAUGUGCUGCAAGGCGUUGUUGAUGACAGUUCCUGGACACGGUGCUGUAGUGGUUAGCACUGUCGCCUUACAGCAAGAAGGUCCUGGGUUCGAGCCUGCCGGCCUGUCCAGGGUGUACCCCGCCUCUCGCCCGUAGCCAGCUGGGAUAGGCUCCAGCUUGCCUGCGACCCUGUAGAACAGGAUAAAGCGGCUACAGAUAAUGGAUGUAUGUUUUGCAGGGUAUGGUGGUGUAGUGGUUAGCACUGUCGCCUUAUAGUAAGAAGGUCCUGGGUUCGAGCCUGGUGACUUGUCCAGGGUGUACCCUGCCUCUCACCCAUAGUCAGCUGGGAUAGGCUACAUCUUGCCUGCGACCCUGUAGAACAGGAUAAGCGGCUACAGAUGAUGGAUGGAUGGUCAAGGGUGUACCCCACCUCUCGCCCAUAGUCAGUUGGGAUAGGCUCCAGCUUGCCCGUGACCCUGUAGAACAGGAUAAAGCGGCUACAGAUAAUGGAUGGAUGUUUUGCAGGGUAUGGUGCUGUAGUGGUUAGCACUGUCGCCUUACAGCAAGAAGGUCCUGGGUUCGAGCCUGCCGGCUUGUCCAGGGUGUACCCAGCCUCUCGCCUGUAGCCAGCUGGGAUAGGCUCCAGCUUGCCUGCGACCCUGUAGAACAGGAUAAAGCGGCUACAGAUAAUGGAUGUAUGUUUUGCAGGGUACGGUGGUGUAGUGGUUAGCACUGUCGCCUUAUAGUAAGAAGGUCCUGGGUUCGAGCCUGGUGACUUGUCCAGGGUGUACCCUGCCUCUCACCCAUAGUCAGCUGGGAUAGGCUACAUCUUGCCUGCGACCCUGUAGAACAGGAUAAGCGGCUACAGAUGAUGGAUGGUCGAGGGUGUACCCCACCUCUCGCCCAUAGUCAGUUGGGAUAGGCUCCAGCUUGCCCGUGACCCUGUAGAACAGGAUAAAGCGGCUACAGAUAAUGGAUGGAUGUUUUGCAGGGUAUGGUGCUGUAGUGGUUAGCACUGUCGCCUUACAGCAAGAAGGUCCUGGGUUCGAGCCUGCCGGCUUGUCCAGGGUGUACCCUGCCUCUCGCCCAUAGUCAGCUGGGAUAGGCUACAUCUUGCCUGCGACCCUGUAGAACAGGAUAAGCGGCUACAGAUGAUGGAUGGAUUGUCCAGGGUGUACCCCACCUCUCGCCCAUAGUCAGCUGGGAUAGGCUCCAGGUUGCCUGCGACCCUGUAGAACAGGAUAAAGUGGCUACAGAUAAUGGAUGGAUGUUUUGCAGGGUACGGUGGUGUAGUGGUUAGCACUGUCGCUUCACAGCAAGAAGGUCCUGGGUUCGAGCCUAGCGUGGAGUUUGCAUGUUCUCCCCGUGUCUGCGUGGGUUUCCUCCGGGUGCUCCGGGUUUCCCGACAGUCCAAAGACAUGCAGGUUCGGCUAAUUGGUGACUCUAAAUUGACCAUAGGUGUGAAUGGUUGUCUGUGUCUAUGUGUCAGCCCUGUGAUGACCUGGCGACUUGUCCAGGGUGUACCCCAUCUUUCACCCGUAGUCAGCUGGGAUAGGCUCCAGCUUGCCUGCGACCCUGUACAACAGGAUAAGUGGCUACAGAUGAUGAAUGGAUGGAUGGAUUGUCCAGGGUGUACCCUGCCUCUCGCCCGUAGUCAGCUGGGAUAGGCUCCAGCUUGCCUGCGACCCUGUAGGACAGGAUAAAGCGGCUACAGAUAAUGAGAUGAGAAUACAAACUGUCCCAAGUCUCCCUGCUCUUCCUUAUAGAUACAAAUUGCAUCAAAACACAGAAGAUUUUCCCAAUGAACACUUGCGAGCACACACUCGCUCACCGUCCACCUGAAAAGGAACAUCUGUACCCCUGCUUAUUUGUUCCAUUCGCCAAUCAGCCAGUCAUCUGACCCCAGUGCAGCGCAGAAAUUCAUGCAGAUACAGAUGAAAGGCUUGAGCUUCUUCUGACCUCUCUCUUCAACAUCAACCAGCUUCUGGAGUGCGAGCUGUAAAGUUCCUGGAGGUGCUCAUGAUGUCACUGUGUUUAAGCAAUCCCAGCUGUUCACCAUGGCUCACCUUCUUCCUAAGCAUACUUGUGAAAUUGGUGGGAUACCCGUCAACUUCAUUGUUCUAGGUGACGCUGCUUACCCACUCCUGGAAUGGCUCAUGAAGGUGUAUACCCCCAGUCCUACUCUAACCCCUCAGCAAAACUCCUUUAACGUCUCUCUUACUGGUGCAAGAACUGCGAUGGAAACUGCCUUUGGGAGGUUGAAGGCAAGAUGGCGGGUUCUUCUGAAGAGAAGUGAUUUUCACUACACCUUUUCACCAUAUGUUGCAAUAACUUGCUGUGCACUGCACAAUUUCUGUGAGAGGGAAGAGGAAUCUUUCGCUCAAGCCUGGAUGGAAGAGGCUGCUGCUUUAGAGAGAGCCGUACCACAGCCGACAACACAGCCAUACGCACAAUCGAAUAAUGCUGGUGAAGCUGUUAGGCGGGUCCUCACAGAAUAUGUGGCCACCAAAUUUCCUCUUCACAUGCAAGAGUCGUAAACAGGGUUUGGAUUCUAGAGGGUGUUGUGAAUACAAUAUUUAUUUAUUUAUUUUAUACUUGGUUUGAUCAAGUUUUCACUUAUGAAAAUGUAGCUUUUUAAUAAAGCAUUGCUGAUUGAACACUGAUUCCGGACAUUAAUGACCAA